rnacentral:sRNA from 1 species
UGUUUGUUUCUGUGUGAUUGUGUGAACAUGGCUGACCAUUUGGGAUUGGAUAUAAACGUAAAUAUGUAAUCAUAAUAAUUAAAGAAAAACAGGUCAUGAGUUUGAAAAGGAACGGUGAGGGACAGGGAGGAGUUGGAGAGGUGGGAGAGGGAAGGGUUGUAAUGAUGUAAAUAGAGUACUCAUGAAUGAAAUUCUCAAAAAUUUUAAAAUUUAAAUGAAAAAAUCAACAGAGAAGGGAAAUAAGAGUGGGCUGUAGAGGGAUGUUUGUAAUGAGAUAUUGAAUGUCCUUAGAUCCUCUACUGAAAUAACAUCAUCAAACUGCACAUAUAAGUGGAAUGGGAACCAGUAAAACUAUCCCCAAAUAAAGCUGGUCAGGGCCCACCAUUGCUGCACAUGGCUGAUAUCCUAGAGACGAAGGGCAAAUACAGCCUACCACUCAGUAGUUAGAGCUAGCCAUUACAACCAUUAAACCACCCUGUGUAGUCCAUACUCAAAGAGGGCACACAAGCUGCAGCACAGAACAAAGCUGAAGCAGCAGGCAGGAUGCCUAAGGCAGAAUCGGGUGUGGUGCAAGUCUAAAAAAUCUCCUGUAUUAAACCCCCGAUUUUACCUUGUUGUGUUAAACUUUAGCACUCCAUCGUUAGAGAUGGGCAAAGGCAUAAGAAGUAUGUGUGCUUAGGUAGCUAUAGCCAUGCCCUGAAUAGCAGACAAGCUCAAAAAAGGGUCAAGAGCAUCCGUGUGACAGGACCUCAUGGUGAAAUCUGCCAGACAGUCAGAGGAGGUGUGGCGGCCCCUCCUGCCUCUCAGGAAAAAUCAAGGUAAAUAAAGCAAAAUGUAAGAGAGAAAGGAAGAGCAGAGGUCUAAUGUCAGGAAAGAACAGGCUGAGCACACAGCCCCAGAGACAACAGAGGCUUAACCAGCACAGCGAACAGACCUGCUUGUAACUUAACUAAUUCCAUAACCCGGAGACAGAUCUUUCCCUUUCCUUUCAGUACCUAAGGAAAAGAUGUCAAUCUUGAAGACAUUAUGUCAGAAAGAGUUCAUUAAACUUUUGCAAGUGGAAACGGUCGGAAGCAGACUACACUCUCGACUCAUGUGAUGAAACUAACUUCAUGGGAUUUUACCACCUGGAGUCUCAAAGGAAGCCAAGGUAGAGAUUCAAGAGCAGCUGGAAAAUUGAUGUUCAGAAGCACAUUUCAUAUCAGAACCCACGUGAUGUGGCAAACACGGUGCUUGGAAGAAAUCCCGUCGCCUUGUAUAUUGUACAGAUAGCGUGAAUGAAAAGAAAUGGUGAAAGCAACAGACUGAAUGAUGGAAAAAAUCCACACAGCAAAGCAAAAGAAGCAAUGAACAAAAAAUAUACCAGAGACUCAACGCCCUCAUAGGCAGCACUUAGAGUCAUCAAAGACACGGGAAGCCAAAGGAAAGCAGUAAAAACACAAGACUCAGAAGUCAUGUGAAAUGGGCUGAAUGGAUGUGAGGACCUAUAAAGAAAUCUGAAGUUUUAAAACAAUGAACAAAAUAUAUUUAACCACGUAAAGAAGAUCAACACACAAGCUGAGAGAGGAGGAAGGGAAGGGAUAGAUACUGAGGGGAUGGAUGUGCCAGCAUUCAGCUUGAUAAGAGAAUUAGAAGCCUGCAUGUUUAAAAAGUAGAGGGUAAUUACCGCUAUUUGCAUACAACAAAAUUGCAUAUGAAAAAUGCAUGAGCACCAACCAACUAGAAACUGUCACAGAUGGAUAACCCUGUGAAGUGACUGAAAAGGCUGAAGGUAGGACUGGGCUGUCCACCUGUAGACAAACACCACUCUGGAAUCUGGAGUUUGGAUUCCAUUCCCAGUAGGGAAAAAAGGAAUGCACACGAGGAACUCUUGUAAGAGCCACAGGAGCACUAAACACACACCUUUGUUAACAGGAUGCUGGCUGAGUAGACGCAUCCCUUGAAGAUAAAUGCCUAGAACCCCAAGAUUACCAUUUGAGCCCAAGAAGUCCUAAAGAGGCUCAUGUACCUGGAUGUUUGGCCCAGCGGGAGUCACUGUCUGAGGGAGCCUAUGGAGCCCCCAGCACGUGAGGGCCUUGCUGAAAGAAUGGGUCACAAGGAGUCAGGCUUGACCCAUUCUAUCCAUAAGUCUGGUCCACCAAGGUGCAAGCAAGCAGUCGUCUGCUCCAAGUACCCUAUCUUAAAAACAAGCACCAGGCUCUCGUCUUUGGGCUUGCUGUUCUUCCGAAACAAUGCCUGCUUCUGAUUUCUUUGCUGUUAUUCCCUUCCCCUCUGGCUGAGUCUCCUUCCAGGCUCACCCAUGGCAUCACUCAGAGGUGAUCAAUUUUCUGUGACCUCAUCAUGGGGACAUGAGUAUGUACAUGACUCCAACUCCCUCCCUGACUCCAAGUUCCGGUCUCCCCUGCUGCCUGAGCAUCACCACCAAGGGCUUUGUAAGAUGACUCUGAGGUUGCAGGAAAACCUUGGCCACAAGGAUGAGAUGGAAUGAACAAGACAAGUAAGUUAAGUCACCCAUCUGGGGGAGAAGACUGAGAGCGGGGUCUAAAUAAGACAAAUGGAUUCUUGCAAGUGCUCUAUCUGAGUCUAGCCUUGGUCCACGAGUCCCUCCCCUACCCACCUACCCACCUACCAUACUGCCUCUCUGUUCGACCUGCAUGUGCGUUCCAAGUGGAAAGGAUCCCUAAGCACUAUAUCUCGUCUCUGCUUUGCUUAGACUCCUUUCCACUCUCCAUCCUCACAGGUAGCCUAACUCCAAGUACAACUCAGACUCCCAUUUACCUCCAUUCUCCUGUCUUCAUUAUCACACCCUGUCAUCAAUAACCGGAACCAACUUUUAAACAUACAUACACCUUCUCCUGCCUUCUCAUCCUGCUCUCCCUGACAAUGGAAGGAAUAUAAUCCUGACCUUCCUGACCCUGCAGGUAGCCAGUGCACCACUCUGCAUAUCCACUCCACUCAGAGACCUUCAGAGAUGCCAUGGGACCAUAUCCUCUGUCCUCCAAGGAUGCUGUGCUCAUCUAAGGCCCGACAUGAGGCUGUGACUUGAUGGUCACUUGAUGCACUUGCGAAGGCUUGGUCAUGCUGGGCAAGAUCACUGACAUUCUCCAAGCAGCUGCACUGUAAAGUCCUAGGACUUAGUUGGCUCUGGUCACUUCUUUUGCUGUCUUUUGUUCUUAUGGUGUUGGAGCUCGAUGUCUCUCCCCACUGGUCCUGUGUGGUAGGCAAGCUCCCUACUGUGCAUCACAACUCAAACGAUCACUGUUGUUGUUUUAAGAAUAUAUUUUCAACAACUUUAAAAAUAACUGGAUCUUGAGAAAUGAGAAGUUAAGCCAACAAGGAAAUACCUAGUCAGCAUCUAAAGCCAUUUACUCUGGCCACCAGAGGGCCCCCACAUUAAUCGUAACUCCUAAUCUGUAUUGAGAGAGCCAAGAAAUGAUCCUCUGAGUUUAGCAGGCUCAUUAGAAUGUGAGAUGCUUCCUACCCUAGGACAUGUGACUUGUAUAAAACUAUUUGAUUUGUUUCUCUCUUCGUCUAAUGCAAAGCCCCUUAAAAAUGUCCAGCACAUUCAUACGCACAAGCAAUUAAUCCCUAAAAUAAUGGCUACAGUUUAAUUAUCUUCAUUCAUACAUUGAUCAAAACCUUUACUACUCGCUCUUGGCUGUUCUUUGUAUGUGUGCCAUAAAACAAGUAUGUGAUAGAGCAGGUGCUUUAUUUUCAGAAUCAUGUGCUUCGCUGGAAAGUAGAUACUCAGAAGCCUGAAUGAAAGCAUGGAAUUAAUUUUCUUAUCAAAUUGGAAAUGAGUUUUUAAAGAGAUAAUGAUUAAUGUUGGGGGAUAAAGCAAAGAAUCAAUACUUUUGUACAUGUUGGAAAUGAAAUCUGAUGGUCUUAUGUAUUUGGAAGUGUGACUUGUUAAUUUUGCAGUCAUGUAAAAUGACUUUUUAACAAGCAGUGGCCUGUUGAGGAGCUCAAUAAAGAAAAAAGGCAAAGUU